rnacentral:rRNA from 1 species
AGUGAACGUUGGCGGCGUGGAUUAGGCAUGCAAGUCGUGCGGAAAGGCCCCGCAAGGGGUACUCGAGCGGCGAAAGGGAUAGUAACGCGUAGAUACCUACCUCCGGGACUGGGAUAGCUGCGGGAAACUGCAAAUAAUACCAGAUAAUGUCCAAUGACCAAAGGUGUGAUUCCCCCUGGAGCCGGGUCUGCGUCCUAUCAGCUAGUUGGUGAGGUAACGGCUCACCAAGGCGAAGACGGGUAGCAGGGGUGAGAGCACGACCCGCAUCAUUGGGACUGAGACACUGCCCAGACACCUACGGGUGGCUGCAGUCGAGAAUCUUCGGCAAUGGGCGAAAGCCUGACCGAGCGACGCCGCGUGUGGGAUGAAGGCCUUCGGGUUGUAAACCACUGUCAGUGGGGAGGAAAUAUAGGUGGGUUCACCCACUUAUUUGACCUAUCCGCAGAGGAAGGACGGGCUAAGUUCGUGCCAGCAGCCGCGGUAAGAC